rnacentral:rRNA from 1 species
UACAGAGGGGGCAAGCGUUGUUCGGAAUUACUGGGCGUAAAGGGCGCGUAGGCGGCCUUCUAAGUCGAACGUGAAAUCCCCGGGCUCAACCCGGGAACUGCGUCCGAUACUGGAAGGCUUGAAUCCGGGAGAGGGAUGCGGAAUUCCAGGUGUAGCGGUGAAAUGCGUAGAUAUCUGGAGGAACACCGGUGGCGAAGGCGGCAUCCUGGACCGGUAUUGACGCUGAGGCGCGAAAGCCAGGGGAGCAAAGCGGG